rnacentral:lncRNA from 1 species
GGGAUCUUGGUGACCCUGUAACCUUUCUGCUGGACAGGUAAACCGCUUUAACAAAGUAAGACAAGUGUCUGUAACAGAAGUGUUUCUUGUCAAACGGACCUGCUGUAGCGUGUUGUAGCGCCAUCGCUAAACUGUCCUCCCUCGGGUCCUUGACUAUGUCACUUUAUCCUUGUUGUAGAAGUCCUGCAAACAUUGUGUUUGCUGGUAGUCUGUUGGCAUCUACAGUAGCACCAAUGCUUUUGACUUUCACCUUGACUGGGCCCCAUUUGUAAUGAUCUGAAGUAUUUAUCUGCAUUAUAUCUGAAUUUAAUUGGAACGAUACGAGCGAGCAGGAGCGUCUGUUUGUGGGCGGGGCUUGAGGGGAGAGGAGGAGCUGAGGGGAAAACUGGUUGGGAGGGGUAGAGUUUACAUUCAAGAUUUCUCCUAAAAACUGGAACUAACUCAGGUUCUUAAAGGUGGGGUUGUCAGGAUCUAAGUCUAAAUAUACAGAAGUGCACAAAAUAAAUACAGUGGUGUUAAGAAAAUAUAUUAAAUGAUGGGGUGCCAGGAACAAAACUUAGCAAAAGUCUGGUUUAUAUUUCAGAGCACUUUGCAGGUUACAAGAAGAAACCUUAAGUAGAACCAAACUCAUGUAGGACAGAUUGGAAAGGGGAUGGAGAAGUGAGCGUUUAUGUUCUAUGUCUCAACUUGGUAUUUACAACUCCAGGUUGAAGAAAUGACACUACAAGGACAACACGACUACAAGUGGUAAGUUCCAUUUUGUAAAAUUCAGGCCAGAUUCAAAGAGAAGGUAUUACAUUAAAAACAAACAAAAACAAAAACACAGUAGACAGUCAUUUUCUUUUAUGUUUCUGUUAUUCCAGAUAUCUUUACCUGCUCAGGUGUGCAGAAACGACUGAUACUUAACCGUUAGGGUCUCCCAAUCCCUGCUGAUGAACUCUCCAUCAUCUGCAUUAUUCCCCCCAACACUGCCUCUCUAUUUUGCACCACUACUCCACUAAGGUCAAGACAGAAACAGAACUAAUUCCACAUUCAGCAGCAGUCGCACCAUCUCCACGGAACAAUUAUGUGAUCCCCCUUUCACAUACAACCGCCGCUCUAAACUCUGACCUCCGCACGACUCUGCGUUAUUGGAUAAUGACGACAGCGGCGUGGAUGACAAUAGUGUUGCUGCCACGCUGUGACAAAUGGAGGGGAUCGUGACAGAGUUGUUAAAGAGGGCGGAGGCUCAUUUAGUGCACAGAGCAUGCUUGAGAUGUAUGGACCCAGCAUGCAACGCAGCCUCAAGCGGAGCCUGACCCCACAAGGACACUCAACGGCUAGAAUCCUUAACUUAGACCGGGAACUAAAGGGAGGGGAGGUGGCGGUGGAGACACCUAACACCGAGCGGUGUGAGCUUUUAUCUGGCAGACCUCAGCGGCCCACCUGAGAGCAGAGCCAGCUGGGGAGGGAGCAGAGUGUUAAGCUGCUGGCUGUCGCUGUGUCAUGUCUGUGUGUGUGUAAACAGGAGGCCUGCUCUCUGCUUCCACUGCUGCUGCCGCCGCCGCUGCUGCUGCUGCAUCUGAGGGCUUCUGUGAGAUGCGUGUUGCAGUUUGAUGAGUGUUUCUUGCUGCAGUGCGAGAAAAAAGAGAGAGAGAGCGAGAGACAUAGGGGUAGAGAGAGAGAGAGAGAGAGAGAGAGAGAGAGAGGGAGAGAAAUCCCUCCCCAUCUGAGCUUCACGUUUCCUGAUGUUGCCAGCACUCUUGCAUUUACAGAUGCACAUAUUUACUCACGUGUUCACAUGCACACUCUCCAAAAUGCAGACACACAUGCAAAGGGGGUCAAAGCAUACACAAAUAGUGCACGCACACACACACACAUACAGAGGGAGGGAGAGAGAGAGGGAGAGAGGGAGAGAGAGGGAGUGCUUCAGUGACCCAGCACAGCGAGAUAAGGCUGCUCUGCAAUUCAGAAAUAUGCAACCUGCAUGUUAACAACCCCUGGAGCGCAGCCUCCCCGGGGUGCUCUGCUCUUCCUUCUCUUUCAGCCUAUCCCCAUCACCCUGCUGCUCUGUGUGUGUGUGUGUGAGUGUGUGUCUAUCCUCAUCCUCACUCUCCACCCAUCCCUCCAUCCUGCACCUCCACCCUCCACCUCAGUUCACCUGACUGCAAGCAAAGAGAAAGAGAGAGAGAGUGAGGAGAGGAAAAUGGAGGAUGGAUGUUUUCACCGUCCGCAGAGUGUGUGUGUGUGUGUGUGUGUGUGUGUGUGUGCAGAGAUAAGCUGACUUUCUGCUGUGUUUCCUCGUCGGUCUGCUAGCAUGUGCAGAGUCCCAGGGAGCUGCUUUAGUGCGGAGCAGAGCUGGGGCAGGAGGGCUCAGGGAGGCAGAACACAACAUAUGGAGGACUAAUGAGGUUCUAUUUGGAGGGCUUCUCCAGUAGAGGUUAGACCGGGCCAAAUGUGGGGGGGUGAGGGAGGGCAGAGUUAAGGAGAAAAUAGGGGGGGAUCAACAGGGUCUGAAAAGGAAGAUGUUAGCCAGAGAGAGAGAGAGAGAGAGAGAGAGAGAGAGAGAGAGAGGACAGUGGAUAAGAGAAGAAGAGGGAAAAAAGAGAGCGAGAGAGCGAGAGAGAGAGAGCUGAGGUCCAUCCUCAGAGGUGGAGUGAGAUUGGCAGGUUUCCACAACGGAGACGCUAUUGAGAGUGACACGUCCACGCGACACACAGCUGUAACACAUCGGCUUUGAUACUAAUAUCAGUCUUUUUAGUGGGAAGGUUGAUGAAAUUUGCAUUUAGAUUGAAAUGACUCGGGGACGGCCAGGAGACCACAGAGGGCCACAGAGAGGAGGAGGAGGAGGAGGAGGAAGAGAGGAGGCGAGCGGGGAGUGUCUGUUUACUUCACACACACAACAACACACUCUCACAAAGUACACACCUAACAGGACUCCUCCCUGCAGGUUCCUGAACUCUGAGUGUAUUCUGGGUCUCCUCCUGACUGGGUCAAGGACGCAGGGGAAACUCUGUACAGCACAUCACCUCCUGCUGUUAGAAAACUACACAGACGUACCUGACAUUAUCAGGAGACAAAUAUACACAGAGGAGGAGGAGGAGGAGGACAGAGAGCUCAGUUUGUGUUUUAAGUUUUAAAUUCAGUCGCUUCCAAAUGUUUGUCUCUGCAAAAACUUCAUUUCUUCUCCUCGUAUAAUAUCAGCAUCAGAUACCAUUAUAGGAUCCGCUCACUUUGGACUCACUCCUCUCAUGUUGAACACUUCAAUAGAGAUGGGAAUCGAGUGGUUCAAUCCAUCGACAUCAUUUACAUUUCAUUUUAAUGAUUCCCUUAACGAUUCCUUUCUUCUGAACAGAGACUUUGAGGGGAAAAAACAUGGCGGAUGGUACGGAAAGUAGGCAGAAACGAUCUAAAGCGUGGCGUCAUUUUACUAAGAAAGACAACAACGAGUCUUGCAUGGAAGUUUUGAGUUUGUGUAGCGUGGAAUAACCGAGUUAGAAGCGCGUAAAAAACACUCAACCGUAGCCGUGUCCUCUUUUCAACUUAAUACCGACUUAGUAAAUGUUGUAAAGAUAGUUUGUCGUUUAGUCAUUUUUAGACUCUCACUAAAGGUGGCAUACAUAGAUAUUGAUUAAAUCGUAUCAAUUCCCAUCCCUACACUUCAAUCAGUAACAAAAGCUGUCAUUAAAAUAAAUGUGUAUAGAUCACAAACAGAACCACUAAAGCUUUUCAAUCACAACCGAGCACUCUCGAUUUCAUCUGGCACUACAGCUUUAAUAUUAUCUUAAUAUUAUCUGGUCUCUUUGCUCUGACUCACAUCGUCUGUAUGUUGUAAAACUUUUCCACAUUAGAGGUCAGGGUAUCAUCUGACUUCUCACUGGAAAAAAAAAUCAAUCAAUCAUUUUUCAUGUGGUCAAAGAGGUCAGAUUAAUUUAUUUUUACCUGAUUAUUUCCAUCAAAACACGUCCUUGAACUGCAACAGAACUUAUUUUUGUUAAAUCAGGGGUAAUUGAAAGAUUGUUUGGGGCUCUAUGUCAAACCAAAAACCGACACUGAACUCCUCAGAUGGUUUCAGAUUCAUGCAGGUUCAUGUCCCUGAGUGUCAGAGACGCCUCCUCCACUCAGAAGCUCAGCAGCAGGUUGAUUCGAGGCUCUCCCGGAGAACAAGAGCACCACCUUGUGUUAAUAUUUCAUAAAAGCACCUGCUUAAACCUCAACUUGCAUUCUUGUCACACGUGCACAUGUGGCUGAGGACAACUUCGAGCUGCAGGAAUGAACCUUUUUCACUUUCUCUGUAUAACUUUAUUAUCUCCAAACCACAAUCGCUGCAUCUGCAGGAAACGUCCUAAAGCUGUUAGUGAAAAAACUAAAUCUUCUUUAGAUUUCGUCCAAGUCAGCAGAAGAGUUUAACUAAAAAUAGAUGCAGAUUUUGCCCUUUUUAUGGAAAAAGUCCUAUAUCUAUUGAUCGUGAAGAUUAAUAUUCUGCAGUGUUAAAGACGGAAUCAAUACAAACCCCCCAAAAAACCAAUGAUUCUGCACUUCUUAACUAAUCAAUAGGAUGAAGUCUAUUGGCCUAUAAGGCGGCGAGGAUGUGCUUUUAAUAAGCGAUACACUCCAGCGAGCCUCAAAGCCUGAACCUGCACUCAUAUGACCGAAACCACACGGCGGCUCAGCGUGUACGGAUCGAUACAGCAGGUUUAUUAAGUGGCAUCCCAUUAAAACUGUGGUGAUAGUGGAUUUCUGCAACCACUCACCAUUAUAGUAAUGUGCGCCGAGAACACGGUGAUACGCACUAAGCUGGGAGAUGGGAUUGCAUUAAGUGUUAAUAGCAAUUUCCAACGCCACAACCAGCUCUUCAGAGGAUUUAUAAUCGUCUGUGUAAAACAAUUUAAUCCUCUCUGUCAAUAUAAUCCUGCUGAUAUUAUUAAAAACGCCCAUGAUGACAUGAUGCUGAUAUUACUAUUUUUGCCUCAGAGCAGAUCGCUUUAAUUCACCUGGUGGGAGGAAGUGUGUGAGAGUGUGUGUGUGUGAGAGAGAGAGAGAAAAUGAGUGCAUGGAGAGAUGAUGGGGGAGUGCAAAAGACAUUUUAGUGAUGAAGAGGCCCCGGGGGGGAGAUAGCUCUGAACUACCUGGGUACUUACAUUACAAGUUAAGGGAAUCAAACAGACACACACACACACACGCGAUAUGCAGUCUCUGAGCGAUCAAUUUAAUAUACCUACUGGUGUGGGUGAGAAAGCAACCCAAUCCUUCUUCAAUUCUCUGAAAUUAAACUCAGAGAUUAUUACCAAACGCCUGCUUGGACAAAAAGAGUGUAUUUAGAGUAGGACACCCCUCUGCGGACUCACUCUGUCUUGUAAUUCAUGAAAGGCAACGAUGCUUUUAGGAAAAAAGGGGGAAAAAUGCAAGAGAAAGUAGGACAUGAUUUAAUGUCUUAGGGGAGAUUAUAAGCCUCUCUUAAAGGCUUAGCCCUCCCCAUCACACCUUAAUAAUGGACCACCAUUUGUCCAAAGUCAUAGGCUAAUGGCCAAAUCACCAUAUGAAUGCAGCUGCUGUGUGUGUGCGUGUGUGUGUGUGCCUUUAGCUGUGUAACACUUCUAUCAUCUCUCCAGUGUGAGGAUCACUGCAUGGGUUAAUGUGAAUGGAGGAUGAAGUACCGCCGAUAACCAGCAGGUGUCAGUGUAGUCUUCACACCCCGUGUCUGCAGCCGCCUGAAAACAGGGGAUUGAACCUUGAGAAGACUACGAGAGGGGAGCGGCCUGCAGAGCACCGGCCAGCCAGAGCCGCAGUGCAUCAAACACAAGGUGGGUAAAUGAGUGUUAAUAACAGGAGGAGGGUCAGCUGGGGAGGGUGACAUGAUCCGGUCCAGGGUUUAUGGACCCUCUUAUUUAGGGGAACUCAUUUUUAACCAUCAGGAUAUGAAUAUAUCCCACAUCACGUCCCGAGUAAGUAAGUCAUGAAACCCCUCCUCCCCCUCCCGCCUGUAUACACCUGGAUAUCAUGGCAGGUGAAUCAGCCAGGUGGAACUCGGAGAAUGAUAGUGGUGCCGUUAUUUCAGCCACCUGAUUUGACUUUUAUCGCUCUGUUCGGCUUCGUUCCAGCAGGUUGUAAAGCACAUGCAAACACUUUACUGCUCCAGGGUGGACUUUGCUCUUUGUUAACAAUGGCUGAACAUACAGGGACAAUCUCUCCUCACCUGAUCAGCUGAGUAAUCUGGUUAAUAAUAAAGCUCUAUCCUUGUAAAAGUCAAACUAAGGUUAAAACUACUGUAUGUAGACGGGCGUUUUCAUGACUGGUUUUUAUUCUGGUUAUGUCAGCGCAGUGCGCUACCUGUGCUGAGUCCAUGGAGUUUAUUGGCACAAUUAUCUUGUUGGCUGUUUGUCAAAGAAACUAUCCCAAAAAUCAACUACCCAACAGUUAGGGCUGGGCGAUAAAAUUGUGUCGUAGCAGACAGCAGCUCCACCCAACCAUAGCACUUUAACAGGUGAAGCCGACAGCACUGUUGGUGAGAAACAAAGAAAAUGAGUGCUACCCCCGACAGAAAUGACCAUGAAGGCUCAACAGAUGACCACAUCAAUGUCAACGACAACACUGGCGUUAGGAAAACGUCGGUGGUGUGGAGGUAUUUUGUUUUUUUGGAGCGGAUUUUCACUCCUGUCCCGUCCCACCCCAGAGAAAAAAUCCUGUCCCAUCCCAAUCCCGGACCAGAGUAAAAAAAUUAAUCCUGUCCUGUCCCACUCCCGUAGAAUGACUCCCACUCUCAUCCCACUCCCACUCAAAAUUACUCCCACUCCUGUCCCGCUCCUGUUUGAUUAAAACCAAACAUGUUGAAAAAACGUUGCAUUUUUUUUUUUAGGUAAAUUACCUAAAAUAAAAAUUUUUAGGUAAAAGUGGCAGCCACUCCGGGUCGCUUUUCACUUCCGGUGGUGACAGGAAGUCAAACCACUGUUGUAGUUCUUUCAUGUUGCUAGCGCGGUCAAGAGUGUUGGCUCUCACCGAGAGAUGACUACAAAAAUGGACGCAUCUGUUCAUCUGGUUGUUGAACAGGCUUAAAAUGAUCAUCUAUUAAUGUUGUUCCCGCUCCCGUUGUUUUAUUUCCCGUCCCAAUCAUGUGAUUAAUUAAAAAAUGACUCCCAUCCCGUGGGAUUCCCGCGGGAACAACAUGACCCAUGGGAAUUCCCGAAAAAUGUCAUCCUCUAAUGUGCACCCCCCGAUUUGAAGGGGAAGUUAUUGUUGGUUCAGCCCUCCAACACAGUUCAGGUGUCUCAUGUGGCCCCAUAUAAAACUUAAUUGCCCUCCCCUGAUCUACAGUGAGGUAUGACAGAUGAAUAUAUUAGAAGACACGGCCAUUAAAAGGCCUGUUGCUCCAGAUCUGCAUGAGUUCGAGUGUAAAAUCCACCUUUAUCUGUUUGAACCAUGAAGACACACACUGUGAAAUCGAAGGUUGGCGUUAGCAGGCAGUUAUCCAAGCUUGCACAUAAGGCUUGUUAGCUAAUUAAAACAUUUUUUUUCUGUCUGUGUGGUUGGGAUAAAUAAAGUAUUUAUAAUUGGGUUUCCAAUUCUUGGAGCUGCUUUAAGUCUUCAUUUCAACCUAAGCUAGCAAGCUGUGACUGUAGCUUCAUUUAGCUUAGCACAGAUUUAUGGCGGCGAUCGCCUAAUGAUUAUUUCACUCAGCGAGUAAGUAAGCACAUUUCCUUUCAUGUAUAUCAAAGGCGAGUUCAUGGUUACAUUAACUCUCUUAUAUUUACAUAUUCUUGCUCCUGACGUCCAGAAGAGGAGCUCCUUCUCACCUUCUCUGUAUUUAAAUGUUCAUGUAAAUAACUCAGAAGUGAAACACAGCUGUGAGACGGCCUGCAGCUGAAUCUCCGAACAUGUAACCAAGUGUCGAGCAAAUGCCACUAAUUCGCACAUCCAUGCAUUCACCAUGGCAACAAGUUUCAUCCCAGCGUGAGAAUCAACAAACGGGUGUGUAUUGUCUUUCUUUUGCAUAAAUCCAUUUGUAUGUUUGUACUGUACUGCGUGUCCUGGAAUGUGGUGUUUUUGUGUCUCUUUCAGCGAGUCCAUGUUCACACACACACACACCUGGGUGAAAUCUUAUACUGUGACAUAAACUGAAGGGCAGAAUGAGAGCAGCUCUUUCACACAGGAAGCGAGAUAAGCACCUCUUUUGAAAAGCACAGUUUCAACCACUAAAUGAGCAGUCAUUCAGGAGCAAACAAUGGACAGACGGAGGGGAAAACAGGCAGGGGGAGAGAAAGAGAAGAUGGUUUGAUUUAGAGGCGAAAGGAAGAGCACAAAUAUUGUCUGGAGGUAGAAAGAGAGAGAGGGAGCGAGGGAGGGAGCAAUUAGUGAGGGAUAAAAAGCAUGGUGGGGGGGUAAGACAACCUCCUAUUACUCCAAUUAAUCCAAUUUAACAAAAAAAGAAAAAAAAAGGACUGAGCGCGGUGAAAAUGGCAGAUCCAUUUCCCUGACAACAGCGAGCGUUUGAGGGUCAGGAGUGGGCAGUCAGAGCAGCUCAGCCUCCUGGCUGGAUGAGCAGAGAACGGCACGCCGGCGUUUCAGCCCGGUGGAGGAGAGCACACGCCCUGUCAGCAGCGGCACGCACGUAAUCACUAAUUCAACAAGGCUUGUUGAUAAAUUUCCAUGGCAGUUAUGAUGUUAAGGCACUAUUUUAAUGCCUGUGUGCCGCGGACUCAGAGGGAAUACUAAUGCAGCGUUUGAAUAUGUAUCAAGCAGGCUCCAAUCUCGAUAGAUUAAUGACUGAAUUAAAAGAAAACCAUUUGACAUUAUCGUCACCAUCACUGAUCUAUAUGUUUGUUAAGCAGACUUGGAGCAGGUGUCAGAUGUUUGCUGAAGCUCCGCAGACAUGAAUAUGUAAGAAUGGACUCUAUUUUCAGCGUAUGAUCUUUGAUGGACAUGAAAGCGGUUUCUGUGGCGCCCUGCCACCGCCGAGUCCUUUACUGACCCAAUUAAAAUGUUGCCUUAGCCUCAAGUAGGUGGAGUGAUGUCCACUACCGCCAAAAGAUCUAAGCUGCUAAUUAACUCCAAAGCCCUGGCAUGCCUGAGAUCUACCUCAUGGUUCUGGCUUCAUGAAAGCUACAGUGGUAAUGGGAUGGAGUCCAGAACAUGACUAAUGCCGGUCCCUCCAGAACCCUGUGGCCUUUCCUGAGGGCAUGAAAACAUAUAUGUGUCUGAGUGUGGCAGAUGUUUAAAAAAACACGAUAGAAGCUGACAUGUAAAAUAGCUGUGGCACGCAGAUUAAUUAGGAAACAUAAUUGUGGUCAAUGCAUCAAUUUUUAUUAAUAAACCUGAACACAUGGGAAGAGAUGGACCUCAGGUCAUCUGGUGUUUCAGGUCUCAUCCUCAGACACAUUCACACAGCCGGGGGUGGGGGGUGGGGGGUGAUCAGGCCCCAGUUUUCUGACGGUAGCAUAUCCUCCCUUGUGUCACCCAUGUUUAGCCAGAGCACUACAGAAGACCUCUCUGGGACCUUCAGGAGGUUCUUGAUGGCUCGUCUUUGCAGCGCACACAUGCUGGACCCAGAGGUGAGUUUUCCCUACGAGGUCUGUUCAACAACAACCCUUCUUCAGCUACCAAGUCUACAGACUGUGAUCUCUACAGAGGGACUAGUGUUGGGCGGUAUGAACAAAAUCUUAUAUCACGGUAUGAGUAAUUUCAUAUCAUGGUAACAUUAUCACGGUAUGUUUUUCCCCCUGUAAAUUCAAUUACUGUCUUAAAAAUAAUCAAACUGUUGCAUUUGUUCAUUUUCCUUUUUUUACUACUGCCGCUAAUCUCCGCGUCCGCCAUAACCACCACCAGUUAAGCUGUUUCUUCUUCAUCGAAGCUACGAAUAUAUGAAUAUACGAAAACGCAACUAAAUCGACCGCCCCCGUUUGGCUUUCCUGUGAGCGAGCGCAGAUAACUACACACUGACUCAGAGAUGCAGCAGACAUCUGCUCUCUCUCUCCGGUAUAAACGGUAAAGCAACAUUUCUACCGGUAGACACUUUCAUACCAUCACAUGGUUUAUACUGUCAUGCCACCCAACUCUAGCCAGAGCAAUCUAGAAGACCUCUCUGAGACCUUCAUGGUGAUCUUGAUGGCUUGUCUUUGCAGCCCACACAUGCUGGACCCAGUGAUGAGACUUUCCUACCUGUUCAACCACAACCC